rnacentral:misc_RNA from 1 species
GUGUUCCCUGCCCUCACGGGUAGAAACGCCCACCCUUGUAUAAUAUAUCUUGUUGCUUUGGCAGGCCGCCCUCGGGCACCGGCUCCGGCUGGAUCGUGCCUGCCAGAGGACCACAACUCUUGUUUUUAGUGAUGUCUGAGUACUAUAUAAUAGUUAAAACUUUCAACAACGGAUCUCUUGGUUCU